GGGGAAUUUUGGACAAUGGGCGCAAGCCUGAUCCAGCCAUGCCGCGUGAGUGAAGAAGGCCUUCGGGUUGUAAAGCUCUUUCGCAAGGGAAGAAAUCUCUCAGGAUAAUACCUUGGGAGGAUGACGGUACCGUAAGAAGAAGCACCGGCUAACUACGUGCCAGCAGCCGCGGUAAUACGUAGGGUGCGAGCGUUAAUCGGAAUUACUGGGCGUAAAGCGUGCGCAGGCGGUUUGGUAAGACAGGUGUGAAAUCCCCGGGCUUAACCUGGGAACUGCGCUUGUGACUGCCAGGCUAGAGUACGGCAGAGGGGGGUGGAAUUCCUGGUGUAGCAGUGAAAUGCGUAGAUAUCAGGAGGAACACCGAUGGCGAAGGCAGCCCCCUGGGCCUGUACUGACGCUCAUGCACGAAAGCGUGGGGAGCAAACA
rnacentral:rRNA from 1 species